rnacentral:rRNA from 1 species
AGUGAACGCUGGCGGUAGGCCUAACACAUGCAAGUCGAACGGCAGCACAGUAAGAGCUUGCUCUUACGGGUGGCGAGUGGCGGACGGGUGAGGAAUACAUCGGAAUCUACUUUUUCGUGGGGGAUAACGUAGGGAAACUUACGCUAAUACCGCAUACGACCUACGGGUGAAAGCAGGGGAUCUUCGGACCUUGCGCGAUUGAAUGAGCCGAUGUCGGAUUAGCUAGUUGGCGGGGUAAAGGCCCACCAAGGCGACGAUCCGUAGCUGGUCUGAGAGGAUGAUCAGCCACACUGGAACUGAGACACGGUCCAGACUCCUACGGGAGGCAGCAGUGGGGAAUAUUGGACAAUGGGCGCAAGCCUGAUCCAGCCAUAUCGCGUGGGUGAAGAAGGCCUUCGGAUUGUAAAGCCCUUUUGUUGGGAAAGAAAAGCAGCAGGUUAAUACCCCGCUGUUCUGACGGUACCCAAAGAAUAAGCACCGGCUAACUUCGUG